CACACAAACGAAAGUUAUCCUAUAUAUACUUGAAUACACGACAGCUAGGAAGACAAACUGGGAUUAGAUACCCCACUAUGCCUAGCCGUAAACAAUUAAUUUACACCUAUCAGCGCCAGGGAACUACGAGCAAUGCUUAAAACCCAAAGGAUUUGACGGUGUCCCACCCAGCUAGAGGAGCCUGUUCUAUAAUCGAUGAUCCCCGCUACACCCGACCAUUUUUAGCUAAUCAGUCUGUAUACCUCCGUCGAAAGCUUACCAUGUGAACGCUCUUCAGUAGGCUCAAUGAUUCAAUACCCAUCAACACGUCAGGUCAAGGUGCAGCUUAAGAAAUGGGAAGCUAUUGGCUACAAUUUCUAACUUAGAACAAACGAAAGNCUAUGUGAAAUCAUAACCAUGAAGGUGGAUUUAGUAGUAAAAAGAAAAUAGAGUGUUCUUUUUAACCCGGCUCUGGGACGUG
rnacentral:rRNA from 1 species